rnacentral:tRNA from 1 species
UGGGCUAUAGCCAAGCGGUAAGGCAACGGACUUUGACUCCGUCAUUUCGGUGGUUCGAAUCCACCUAGCCCAACCA